rnacentral:rRNA from 1 species
UACGUAGGGUGCAAGCGUUGUCCGGAAUUAUUGGGCGUAAAGAGCUCGUAGGCGGUUCGUCGCGUCGGCUGUGAAAACCCGGAGCUCAACUCCGGGCCUGCAGUCGAUACGGGCGGACUCGAGUUCGGCAGGGGAGACUGGAAUUCCUGGUGUAGCGGUGAAAUGCGCAGAUAUCAGGAGGAACACCGGUGGCGAAAGCGGCGCACUGGACCAUAACUGACGCUGAGGCGCGAAAGCUAGGGGAGCAAACAGG